AAUUUUGGACAAUGGGGGAAACCCUGAUCCAGCCAUCCCGCGUGAAUUAUGAAGGCAUUCGGGUUGUAAAGUACGUUUGGCAGAGAAGAAAAGGUAUCCACUAAGACGGGAUACUGCUGACGGUAUCUGCAGAUUAAGCACCGGCUAACUACGUGUCAGAAGCUGCGGUAAUACGUAGGGUGCAAGCGUUAACCGGAAUUACUGGGCGUAAAGCUUUUGUAGGGAGUUCGGUAAGAAAGAUGUGAAAUCCCAGGGCUCAACCUUGGAACUGGAUUUUUAACUGCCGAGCUAGAGUAUGUCAGAGGGGGGUAGAAUUCCACGUGUAGCAGUGAAAUGCGUAGAUAUGUGGAGGAAUACCGAUGGCGAAGGCAUCCCCCUGGGAUAAUACUGACGCUCAGACACGAAAGCGUGGGGAGCAAACAGG
rnacentral:rRNA from 1 species